rnacentral:rRNA from 1 species
UAACGAAUCUUCCGCAAUGCACGAAAGUGUGACGGAGCGACGCCGCGUGUGGGACGAAGUUCUUCGGAAUGUAAACCACUGUCAGGGGUUAGAAAGUUCUGAUCAACCCCAGAGGAAGGCACGGCUAACUCUGUGCCAGCAGCCGCGGUAAUACAGAGGUGCCAAGCGUUAGGCGGAAUCACUGGGCUUAAAGCGUGUGUAGGCGGACUUCUAAGUACCUUGUGAAAUCCCACGGCUCAACCGUGGAACUGCUUGGUAUACUGGGAGUCUUGAGCCACUUAGGGGUCAGCGGAACAAAUGGUGGAGCGGUGAAAUGCGUAGAUAUCAUUUGGAACGCCAAUGGUGAAAACAGCUGACUGGGAGUGUGCUGACGCUGAGACACGAAAGCUAGGGGAGCAAACGGGAUUAGAUACCCCGGUAGUCC